rnacentral:rRNA from 1 species
ACGCUCGACACCUACGGGGGGCAGCAGUGGGGGAAUAUUGCACAAUGGGGGAAACCCGUGAUGCAGCGACGCCGCGUGAGCGAAGAAGUAUUUCGGUAUGUAAAGCUCUAUCAGCAGGGAAGAAACUGACGGUACCUGACUAAGAAGCACCGGCUAAAUACGUGCCAGCAGCCGCGGUAAUCUGAGGCGGCUGGCAAGGC